GCCUGUUUAACAAAAACAUCGCCUUUUGAGUUAAAUAGAAGGUCUAGCCUGCCCACUGUAAAUGAAGGGCCGCAGUAUAUUGACUGUGCAAAGGUAGCAUAAUCAUUAGUCUUUUGAUUGGAGGCUGGUAUGAAUGGUUGGAUGAGGUAAAAGCUGUCUGGUUUAAGUAAAAUAGAAUUUAGCUUUUCAGUCAAAAGGCUGAAAUUUUGUUAGAGGACGAGAAGACCCUAUAGAUCUUUAUAGGACUAUUUAGUAUACUAAGAUGAGUUAGGAUUCUAUAUGAAUUUUAUUUGGUUGGGGUGACAAGGAAAUAUAUGAACUUUCUUUAACUUAACAUUUAUGAAUGAGUAAGGGGUCCAAUAAGAGUGAUCGAAAGAGUAAGUUACCUUAGGGAUAACAGCAUAAUCUUCUUGGAGAGUUCUAAUCGAUAAGGGGGGUUGUGACCUCGAUGUUGGACUAAGAUUUAAUUCCGGUGAAGCAGCUGGGAGUAAUGGUCUGUUCGACCAAUAAUAUCUUACAUGAUCUGAGUUCAAACCGGAGCUCC
rnacentral:rRNA from 1 species